rnacentral:lncRNA from 1 species
AAUAUUACUAAAAAGUUAAUGAACAUUAUAAUACCAACAAGUGUCCUGGGAGUCUUACUCCCAGAACAAAAAGUCUCUAAUUUUUACUAGUUGCUGAUGGACCCUGCCUUCAUGUUUCUAAAUAACAUACUUCUAUUUCUUUUUUUUAAAUUUAGAAAUUUUAGACCUUAUUUAUUGCCAUGAUAUUAUGGUAAAUGAGGAUCAUCAUUGUUUCAACCCCUCAUUUCCUUGUCCCUCGAUUCCAUAGAUGGCUGUUUUAUCCUACAUCAAUUCAUCUUUUCUAAGUUGUGAUUAUCUUCCACAUUCUUUCUUUGCAAGUUGAAGUUUCAAGGAAAAGUUUGCUCUCCGAUUUUAGUAAACCUGCUUAGCCACCACACCACUUUGGCUAUUUUAUUAUAAUGAUGGUAAGUUAGAUCAUUUCAUACCCAAAUAUGUUGAUGUUUCCAUAUAUCACAUACACUUCAAUUUAAACUGCCUGAUUUUUUUGUCCACCUAUAUUUAGGGCAUAUAUGACAAAGUCACAGUGAGAUCACUGCCACUGCUAAAUGCUGUUCCUUUCUAAAGACUGAUGUAUAGACUUCACUCUAUAUUUAAAAAUCACAAAAACAAUUCAUCUUAUCAAAACUGAAAUGAGGACACCUCAAAAUUUAUCAAGAGAUGGAUUCCCCCAAUGAUAACAACAGUGAAACAAGCCGGACUCCUGCCACACCAAGAAAACACAGCAGCAAAAGUCUGAGCUUUUUAGCAUCACUGAAAAAGAACUUACCGAGUACACUUGAUGUUCCUGUACGAUAACAAAAUGAAAAGGAAUUGAUCUGUGGAUACAUGUUUUCCAAGAAAAUGUCACCCGUUUUCAAAUGACAACAACUGGAUACUUAUACCUAUUAAAAGAUAUUAAACCAGGGUUCUUCAGGAAGCCUUCGUGAGUAGACAGUCGUCAGAUGUUCUGUUGACCCAAGGUCAGAAAAGAAAGCAAGAUUCUCCUAGAUGUCUAAAAACCCUAAUUGUCACAUUGUCAAUUGAUAUCUUAUUCUUUUUUGUCUUAAUUUUCAUUUCUAUGGUUUAUAGUUAUACAGUUUUGACAUUACCUAUCAUAUUCCCCUUACUGAUACUAAUAUCAUCCUUGGGUCUAUACGUUACCAGAUGUUUCAUCGCUCUGAGUCUAUAAUUUAUUUUUUCCAAGUUAUUGUUAGUGGAGCGACUUUAAAGAAUUAUGGAUAUAUCCCCACUCGCCAAAUCCUAAAAAAAUUCAAAUGAAGGCAAUACCUGGCAUUAAUACUACUAAAAUGAAUUUGAUUCAAAAAUCUUCUAAUCAACAAACAACUUUAAGAAAUCUUAUCCUGAUCUUUACUAAUAAACAUUCCUGACAUUGUCUAUCA